CCAUGCAUGUCUCAGUACAAGCCAAAUUAAGGUGAAACCGCGAAAGGCUCAUUAAAUCAGUUAUGGUUCCUUAGAUCGUACCCACAUUUACUUGGAUAACUGUGGUAAUUCUAGAGCUAAUACAUGCAAACAGAGCUCCGACCGGAGACGGAAGGAGCGCUUUUAUUAGAUCAAAACCAAUCGGUGGCGGGCUUGCUCGUCAUCGUAAUACUUGGUGACUCUGAAUAACUUUACGCUGAUCGCACGGUCUCGCACCGGCGACGCAUCUUUCAAAUGUCUGCCUUAUCAACUGUCGAUGGUAGGUUCUGCGCCUACCAUGGUUGUAACGGGUAACGGGGAAUCAGGGUUCGAUUCCGGAGAGGGAGCCUGAGAAACGGCUACCACAUCCAAGGAAGGCAGCAGGCGCGCAAAUUACCCACUCCCGGCACGGGGAGGUAGUGACGAAAAAUAACGAUACGGGACUCAUCCGAGGCCCCGUAAUCGGAAUGAGUACACUCUAAACCCUUUAACGAGGAUCAAUUGGAGGGAAAGUCUGGUGCCAGCAGCCGCGGUAAUUCCAGCUCCAAUAGCGUAUAUUAAAGUUGUUGCGGUUAA
rnacentral:rRNA from 1 species